rnacentral:rRNA from 1 species
UACGUAGGGUGCAAGCGUUGUCCGGAAUUAUUGGGCGUAAAGAGCUCGUAGGCGGCUUGUCACGUCGGGUGUGAAAGCCCGGGGCUUAACCCCGGGUCUGCAUUCGAUACGGGCUAGCUAGAGUGUGGUAGGGGAGAUCAGAAUUCCUGGUGUAGAGGUGAAAUUCGUAGAUAUCAGGAGGAACACCGGCGGCGAAGGCGGCUACCUGGUCCACAACUGACGUUCAGGUACGAAAGCGUGGGGAGCAAACAGG